UCCAGCACCUUCCUUCCUUGUCUCCUUCUCUAGUCGCCUCCUACCCUCCCCUCCCCUCCCAGGCUCCGAGCUCCUCUCGGCUCAGAGGCCUCAUCAGGGCACCAGACACGCACCGUCGGCACGACGUCCAGGCCGCCCCCACACCGUCCGGGAGUUGCGCGUUUGGACGCCGGGGGGCAGCGACCCGUCCCUGAGAGCUGUGUCGCGGUGGGUGUUGCCUCCGAAGCGACGACCUCCACUUCCCGCGGUGGCCGGCAGGAUAUGGCACUGGUGGAGUCAAACCCCCUUCGUUCGAUGCUGGCACGCUAAGCCGCAUUGAGCUAUCACUCCCAAGGUGCCUGGCCGAGGGGGCUGCGCCGACCUGCCACCGUGGGGAUGUGCCGUGUUUGGACGCUGCCGACCCUUCAUUGUCACGGGCCCGCGUCCGUCUGCUAUGGCGUCCUCACCACCGAUUUUUUCGCCGACCUUGGAGCUGUGAGGCGCUUGCCCCACCCCAGCUCCAGUUGCCUCUGUUUUACUUCUGAUUUUUGGAGGCAGUUUUUGGUUGUCCAUGUGCAGAGAACGGCGGUUCAACUUGUUCUCGUCGGUGGAGAUGGGAUGCCCAAGAGCAUGGUCGAGGCGAUAUGGCAGACGAUGUGGCGUGUCUCAGAUGAUGACAGUGAUGGAUGGAUCUCCAAAAUGGUGCUCUCCGCCUGAGAAUUUCUAGGACCCGUUGUAGAUUGAAUGUCUUCGUUUUGCUCCUCCAUAUGUGUAUUAUUCAGAAAUGUCUGUAAUUUUAAGUUCUGUUGUAUUUUCCAUCAUUUGCAAAAUUGUGUUGGCUGAAAGUUUGCAUAGAACAAGAGAAAUAUGAGAUGGGCUAAUUUGUCGGCCAAAAUCAGUGGGCCA